UACGGAGGGGACUAGCGUUGUUCGGAAUUACUGGGCGUAAAGAGCGUGUAGGCGGGUAUGCAAGUUUGGCGUGAAAGCUCCCGGCUAAACUGGGAGAGUGCGCUGAAGACUGCGUAUCUAGAGGCGAGUAGAGGGACGUGGAAUUCCGGGUGUAGUGGUGAAAUGCGUAGAGAUCCGGAGGAACACCAGUGGCGAAGGCGACGUCCUGGGCUUGACCUGACGCUGAGACGCGACAGCACGGGGAGCGAACGGG
rnacentral:rRNA from 1 species